UACGAAGGGGGCUAGCGUUGUUCGGAAUUACUGGGCGUAAAGGGCGCGUAGGCGGCGCGUUAAGUCAGAUGUGAAAGCCCUGGGCUCAACCCAGGAAUUGCAUUUGAUACUGACGUGCUUGAAUCCGGAAGAGGAUGACGGAAUUCCCAGUGUAGAGGUGAAAUUCAUUGAUAUUGGGAAGAACACCAGUGGCGAAGGCGGUCAUCUGGUCCGGUAUUGACGCUGAGGCGCGAAAGCGUGGGGAGCAAACAGG
rnacentral:rRNA from 1 species